GAUGGACAUGGUGCUUCUUUUGGAAGGCAAGGAAAAUGCCCUGAAAUUGAUUGUGGUCGUGGUGGCACAACUCUGAAUAUACCGAAAACCAUUGACUUGUAUACUUUCUGGGGAUGCGUUUUAUGGCGUGCGAAGUCCGUCUCAAUAAAGCUACUACUAAAACAUCAUAGGAAGGCUGGGCCCUAAGCCCUCGUUCCCCAGGUCACCUCCACUCAUGAAGGCAUGAGCGCCCCACCGUCGAGGGUGCAGGUGGGUAGCAUCGGGGCUCCGCUGCCUGUCCUUCUUCUCCCCUUCUCUUCCUUCCCUUCUCCCUGCGCUUCUUCUGCCUUUGUCUCCUGCUCUUGCUUUUUCCCUCUGUUUCCUUCGCUUGCCACUGAUCCCACCAGCCCGUGGUCUUUCCUUGACCCCCAGGAAGCUCAAAGGGGAGGGAACGAGAGAACAGUGAAAGUUAAUCGCAACUGUAACGAGGAGUGAUUUGUAUUAUUAUAAAUUAGUAUCGCUGUCCAGGACUUCACCUGCACGACGCCCACAUGCGGGGGGUGAUUAUCCACAUUUGAUGGCUAGAGAAACUGAGACUCAAGCAAGCAGAGGGACAUGCCCCGUUUGUCAGGGGCAAACCAGAAAGCAAACCCGGGUCUGUCUGGCCUCGAAGCCUAUUCUCCGAAGCAUGAAAAGACCUUAAAUAUGAGGCUGGGCUUGGUUAUUUAUUGAUGGAUUAUAAUAGAAGUCAUUUGAUGGGGUUCGAAACUGCAGUCGCUAAGAUCUCAUCUGUUGGUCUGAUAUUUACGGCCGUUUAUGGGUGAUGUCUCUGUGGCGCCUCCAUUCAUUAUGGUUUUCAUUAAGACGCGAAUCCUAUUUGGAAGUCUCUUUGUCAUUUUUAACUUCUCUGCUUAAUUUCCCAGCCCUAAUCCUUCUUCUCUACAAGCCGCGGGGGGACAGCUCCCCGUGGCUCUUUUUUUCUCAGAGUUGCGUGCAGGCAGGGGCGGGAGGGGCGAGGCAUGUGUGUUAUGAGUGUGUGUGACAUGAGUAUGUGUGUGAGCACGUGACGGGAGUGUGUGUGAAGUGUGUGUGCUGUCAGGGCGCGGGUGUGGAGGGUGAGUGGCUCCUAAGACUGUGUGUUUGUGUUCACGAGCGUGUUUGCCUAAGAGGAUGCAUUUGUGGCGUGAGGUGUGUGUGUCAGGGGGCUGCCAUUCACCGUAUCCUUUUUUUUGUUUUCAGAAGCACACAAAUUCUUGAAUUGAGGCCUAACCAUUUGCUUCCCGAGCACAGGGGCCGUGCUCCCCUCCCCGCCACCUGCCUGGCUCUCUCCCCUGAGACAAUCUUGGACUUGGAAGAGGGUCUUGAAUCCAGCCUCUCACUUGUUAUAGACCUGGAGCGCCUGCUUAGAACUCCCCAGUGGUAGACAUCUCCCUUCUUCCCUGCAUGGUUGGUUUCUAUAAAAGUCUUCUGUUGGGCUAUUCUUCCUUGAGAGAGGUCCAGAGUUGGUUUACUUUUUUUCAUUCUUUUACAUAAAAUGCCUGCUCCCAAGGAAUCAGUAAGAAAAGAAAUCUAGGAGUUCCCUGGCAGCUCAGGGGGUUAAGGAUCCAGCCUUGUCACUGCUGUGGCUCAGGGUCCUGCUGUGACUCAGGUUCAAUCGCUGGCCUGGGAAUUUCCACAUGCUGCAAGUGUAGCUAAAAACAUAAAAACAGAAAUCUCAAGGGGACGUUAUUUUUUUUUAUUAAAGUAUAGUUGAUUUGCAAUGUUGUGCCCAUUUCAGCUGUAGAGCAACGUGACCCAGUCAUACACACAAACACACACACACACAUACACACACACUCUCCCUUUCUUAUGUGAUCUUCCAUCACGGCCAGUCCCAAGAGACAGCGUAGAGUUCCCUGUGCUGUACGUAGGACCUCGUUGCUUGUCCAUUCUCAGUGCAACCAUUUGCAUCCAUGAACCCCAAACUCCCCGCCCAUCCCGCUUCCUCCCCCUCCCCCUUGGCAAAACCACAAGUCUGUUUUCCACGUCUGUGAGUCUGCUUCUGUUUUGUAGAUAGGUUCAUUUUGGCCAUGUUUUAUUUUUUAUUUUUACCAUAUUUUAGAUUCCAUAUAUAAAUGAUAUAAGGCAUUUAUCUUUCUCUGUCUUACUUCACCUAGUAUGAGAAUCUCUAGUUGCAUCUGCAUUGCUGAAAAUGGCAUUAUUUUGUUCUUUUUAUGGCAGAGUAGUAUUCCACCGUGUGUAUGUACCACAUUUUCUUAAUCCAUUCAUCUGUCAAUGGACGUUUAGAAUGUUUCCAUGUCUUGGCUACUGUGAGCAGUGCUGCAGUGAACAUAGGGGUGCACGUGUCUUUUUGAAUAGUAGUUUUGUGCUAACAGAUGCCAAGGAGUGGGGUUGCUGGAUCACAUAGUAGGUCUAUAUUUAGUUUUCCGAGGAACCUCUAUACUAUUUUGCAUAGUGGUUGUGCCAAUUUACAUUCGCAGCCACAGUGUAGGAGGUUGUAAAGGGGACAUCCUUUGUGGUGCCUUUGGCUACCCCCAGCGCACACCCCAAAGCUCAUUCCCUCUGCUUUGCCUCAUGAUGCUUUCCUGCCCAGGUGACUACACCCUCCUCUUCUUCCUGAAGUCCCACCUCCUCUAGGAGCCUUCUCUGCCCCUCAGCCCACACUUGACUCCCACCUUCUCUGGGUCCCCGUAGGGCUUAUAAGAGGCACAGCUUUUACCACCUAAAAAUGGUCUGUCUCGGAGUGACUUGGGUAAAACUCUGGUCGACCCAAACUACACAUGUCGGCUUCCCAAUUCCCUAGAGAGUUUGGGCAUCAGGGUUGCCAGAUACGGUGGUUGAGGUUGUGUACUGCCAAAGGCAUGUGGCUGAGGGCCAAACUGAGUUCCCACUUACCUUACCCAGCCAUGCAGCUGGAGGGUGUGCCUUUUCCAAAUUGCACGGAAGGACCGUGUGGGCUAGAGGUGGCCAGGGAAUGGAAGCCUCAGAGGGUUCAAUCCUGUUGUCUCCAGGCCUCUCAGCCAGAUGAACGCUUGAUGAGGGACCCAGAGAAGGUGGCCUCCACUCCCAGUGCCUUGGCAGAGUCGGCCUGGCGCCCACAGCCCUCCUUCCCAGGGCCUCACCCCUCUGAGUAAUCUCAUUGCACUCUGCUCAUCACUUAGCUCCACAGGCCCUCCUCCGGCUGCAGUUUAAUUUUCACUUCUCAGUAUCUGCCCUGAAGUAUCCUUAAUCUCCCCCCCCAAACCCCCACCCCCUGCGUCUUUGUUCUGUCCUUCUGGCUAGUUAGCAAGCUCUAGGAAGGCUUUGGUUUCCUUUGUUUUCAGCCACCUCCCUGUGACAUCUACCCAGGACUCAGCCCCGGUGGGAGGGCCACAUCCGUGCUGUUGUCACACUGAGCCAUCAGCUGAAGGAGCUGAGAGGCCAAAGUUCUGUGCUCAGAGCUGUGAGACAAGGCGCCGACCUCUCUCCCCAAACACCAGCUCAGCCAGGCUUCCUUUGCACUCCACUCCUAGUUACCUGCCAAGUGUCCCUAAGGAUUCGGGAUUUCUGGGGAGACUCAGCCCAUCCCAUGGUCUCUGUUGGGUGACACCCAGUGCUGGACAAGGGAAUGGCGAAGGGGCCCCCAGAUCCUUCCUGACGUUAACCUUUGGGUACUGCCGCGUGAACCCUCGAUUCAGCUUCUGAGGUGCUUAGCAGGGACUGAAGCUGUGCCCUCUGGGGGCGGGCUUGGCUUGGAUGGAGGCAGAGCAUCCCAGGAGGGGCCUUUAGCUGCGUCUUCCAUGCAGCUUGCUCGUGCCCCUGCAGAGCAAUGCAAGAGGUGCGUCUAGCCUGCAGCAGUGGGGAAAGCAUUUGUCGCCUUUCCUCCCUCAAGACCUCCAACCCUGGGCCCCUGGCUGACCCCCUCCCCCUCCAUCUCCUUUCAGCCUCAGGACCCCCUCAACACGCUCUCGCACUUGGCAGUAAAGUCUUCAGGCAGUCACUAAAUAGCAGUGUUGAUGCUCCAGCCCCGCACGCCCUGAAAUGAUAAUGCAUCACCCGUGGUGCGCAUCCAGACGGAGCCAGAUUACGCUCAGGUGGUUAAAAGUCCAGGUCUAAUUAGAGUUCCAGGGAAUCAAGCCAUUGUAUUAUUAAUGAUUCUCCAGCAAUGUUCUGAUUAAAACAGUAAUUUUAAUAAGCACAGCUCGAUGCUAAGUGUUCACUGAGCACCUAAUUACAUCAGUUAUAACUCCAAAAUUAUUUAAAAUUCCCCUUUUUUUCCACCAGACCCGGCAUGCACCAAAGAAAAUAGAGACACAGACAACUCAAUGAUUAUUUGCUUUAAUUAAUUUCUUAAGCACCUCUUUAAAAAAAAAGAAAAGAAGAAGAGUCUUUUGUCUGUCUUCCAUCUCCCCACCUCUCCUCCACCCCUUUUUAUCCCCCAAAGGCUCUGGGGCUCUGGUUACAUUUGAGGUGGCCAUUGAAAGAGGCCAGAAACAGAAAGCAAGGGAGGUAGAGAUUUGAGCAGUCCUGGCCACCACCCUCCAGGCAAGCGGAGACUGCAAAGCUCUAAUGGGCGCUGAUGGCUCAAGCCUGCUGAGCACCCGGAGUGGGGCCCGGGGGAGGGGGCAGGACUGCCCAGGGGGCUUCUAGCCAGGAGCCAGCUCCCCCCACAUCCUUGUCUCCCUUAGACAGGCUUUGGAUGCCUUAUUUAAUGAUUGGCCCUCGCACCUCCAGGAGGGCAGAGGCGCGUGGGUUGAGAGGCAUCCCAUGGUGGCUGUUCAGAAAUUCUUUCGACCCGAGAGCCAGUUGAGUUUAAAAAAAAAAAAAAAAAAAAAAAGACCUCGCAUCUGUUCAUUCUCUGGAAGGGCAGCAGAAUUUCAGAGAACAGUCUGCUGAAUCCUCUGAGACUUGAUGUCCAGGGUUUUCUUUAAAAAAAAAAAAAAAAUCGUGUUAUCAAUACGUUAUCCCUCCAUCCCGGAACUAACACCAAUAAUUCCCCCACGUCUGUGCGAUAAACUUGACCCUGAACAAUGCACUGCUGUGACUCUCGCUUCCUGCGACCCCCAUGACAACGUGCUAGUCAGGAAGGAAUGGCAGCUGCUGGCGCUCUCAUGCCUGAGCGGUGAGAGAGGAUCAAAUGCACCUUUACUUUGUCUCUCACCACCCCUUUAGCUCCAUCUCAGGCAGGCAGCGUAGUUCAUCAGCUCACUCUUGGAUAAUGAUGACAACAAGAUCAUUCAAACGCAGUCUCAAUUCGGAAUUAGAACACCCAGAUCCUGACCAGAAGUCAAACUCUGAACUUGACGGACGCCCAGGUCUUUCUCCCCCAGGUCCCAGCCCAAGCCAGCAGCACCCUUCCCCUUGGCAAGACGGAGAUGCAGAGGCGUGUCUUCUCUGUCUCUCACGUACCUUCCCGCUUUAGAGGAAGAGGAGAGGAAGCCUCAGUGAGGUCCCUCCCGCUUGAACGGGAAUUCUCACAAGACUUCUCAUGCUCUCGGAGCGGGCUGAGUCCUCCAGGGGCCCCGGGAACCCCCCUGCCGCGCUGUUCUGGCUGCAGCUCUCAUCAGGCGGGUGGGGCUUCCUGCCCCUCUCCCUUUAGCCCUGAUUUUCCCAUAGUUCCCUCCAUGUGAAGAUGCUCACGUGAGGGCCGAGCCCCACCUCCACGGGUCCUCUUGGAGAGCUUGUAAGAUGCUGCCCAGCAGCUCUCUCUUCUCGGGUGUUCGUGUCCGAAUCUGGUGGAAGGGAGACUGCACAUCCUCGGCCUGCCGCUGUCCCUGGGGAGCUCAGGGACCUCCUAAGGUCCCUCCUGUGCUCUGUCUCUCAAGACCUUGCCACCCUACCCUCUGGAUUUCGUGCUUCUGGCUUUUCCUGUCCGCUCCGACCCCUCCAGUCCAGAGGAGGCAUCUCAAGCCUCCUAGGGGAUCCUCUGGAAGGGCAGCUGGUUACAGCGUCCCAAGGCCUUCCUCCAAACCUCCCGCAAAAUUCCCGCUGUCAUUCCUUCUACCCUUUCAUGGCCUCGAUCUGGGGGAGGGGAUGCAGAGUCAAGGGGAAGAGAAUCAUGAACUUGGAUCUUAAGAAUCUACUCUGAAAACUGCCACCACACUUUAGCAGGCAGCUUUCAUUGUAUCUUGGUGCCUUUGUGGAUGCUUUAACUUUUACAGAUGCAGAAACUGAAGCUCAGAGAGGUUAAGUGGCUUACCCAGCACAGCGGAGUACAUGGCGAGGCUGAGCCAAGUUCUUCUGACAGUAACAGUCGUGUCCUUUCCAUGACACCAUUAUGUCUAUGCAAAAAAAAAAAAAAAAAAAAAAAAAAA
rnacentral:lncRNA from 1 species